rnacentral:rRNA from 1 species
UACGUAGGUGGCAAGCGUUGUCCGGAUUUAUUGGGUUUAAAGGGUGCGUAGGCGGCUUUGUAAGUCAGUGGUGAAAUAUGGCAGCUCAACUGUCAGGGUGCCAUUGAUACUGCGGAGCUUGAGUACAGAUGAGGUAGGCGGAAUUGACGGUGUAGCGGUGAAAAUGCUUAGAUAUCGUCAAGAACACCGAUAGCGAAGGCAGCUUACUAGGCUGUAAACUGACGCUGAGGCACGAAAAGUGUGGGGGAUCAAACAGG